rnacentral:rRNA from 1 species
UACGGGGGGGGGCAAGCGUUGUUCGGAAUUACUGGGCGUAAAGGGCUCGUAGGCGGCCAACUAAGUCGGACGUGAAAUCCCCAGGCUCAACCUGGGAACUGCGUCUGAUACUGGAUGGCUUGAAUCCGGGAGAGGGAUGCAGAAUUCCAGGUGUAGCGGUGAAAUGCGUAGAUAUCUGGAGGAAUACCGGUGGCGAAGGCGGCAUCCUGGACCGGCAUUGACGCUGAGGAGCGAAAGCCAGGGGGAGCAAACGGG